GCAAAGCAAGUGCUUGAGAUAGACUAGAAACCAGCAUUCUUCAUUUCCCGUCUCUACGACGGCUUUAUCAAAUCAACCAAACCUUUUCCUUCUAACAGCAGAGUAAAAAGCAAA
rnacentral:ribozyme from 1 species